rnacentral:rRNA from 1 species
GUCGCUACUACCGAUUGAAUGGCUCAGUGAGGCCUCCGGACUGGCUCGAAGAGGUUGGCAACGACCACUUCGAGCCGGAAAGCUGGUCAAACUCGGUCAUUUAGAGGAAGUAAAAGUCGUAACAAGGUUUCCGUAGGUGAACCUGCGGAAGGAUCAUUACC